rnacentral:lncRNA from 1 species
AAGAUGAUAGUACCUACCACACAGCAGUGAGAGGGUUAAAUGAGCUCAGAUGCAUAAAGCACUUGGUAUGGUGCCGGGUCCAUAGUAGGUGCCCAGUAAACAUCACGCCAGGGUUCAGGGAAGGGUAUGGAGGAUCUAGAGAAAGGAGAGAAGAACAAGGAGAGGAAGCUCAGAAGAAGACGGGAAUGAAGCGGGCAGAGGAAGGGGAGCCACUGGGUGCUGCCCCUCCCUCCCUGGGCCUGCUUGGGGCUCCCGCUCUUGUUCUUCCCUCCCCCAUAUGUUCUUCAGAAUUCUGAGGAGUUCUGCUUCCACCCCCAGCAGUUGCCAUGGUGACGGAACCCUGGACCCAGUGGAAAGUUCUCUGCGCUUGGCAACGGGACCGCAGCGCCCCGCCCCCUGCCUGCCUGUGCGUGGGCGGCCGGCUCCGGCUGCCGCAGGGCCUCCUGUCUCCACUGGGACACAGCCCCCCAGAAUCCAGGCCGGGAGCCCCUGCACCACCAGCACCGAUGGCCCUCAGAGGGCAUCCAGUCUGUCCCUCUGCAGUGUGAUUUUCUUCUGUGGAUCCAUGUUUUCAAAACUUUGUCUCGGGCUUCCCUGGUGGUCCAGUGGUGAAGAAUCCGCCUGCCAGUGCAGAGGACGUGGUUAGACCCUUGGUCCGGGAAGAUUCCGCGUGUCUCCGGGCAGUGAAGCCCCGGCACUGCAACUGCGGAGCCUGCCUCUCGAGCUCCGUGUUCCGUGACUGCUGCAGCUUGCGACCCUCGGCCCAGCCCACAAGACAAGCCACAAACGAGAACGUGUGGAACCAGUGAACCCCGGCUAGGGAGUAGCCCCGCCCACGGCGACUAAAGAAAGCCGGUGCACAGUACUGAAGACCCAGCACGGUCAGAAAUACUAAUAUUUUGUCCCUUGAGCAAAAAGCCUUUAUUGAGCAACUUGCUCACAUAGCCCAUUAAAAAAAGAGUCUUCCCAGCCCUGGAUACCCCAGGUUGGCCUGCCCCCGAGGCAGAGACAUGGGACUUGUGUGGUUGGAUGGUGGGUAUGUUUCAAGAAAUGAAAGUUGACACUAGCUCAGGGCUCAUGCAGGUGAAGGUCCCCAGGUUGGUGAUGAUGGGAUUUCUCCCAAGUUCCACAAAUCCACCAGUGAGAAGGACGGGGACUGUCUGUCUUGGGAGCUGUGGUUACUGUCCAGAUUGAGGCCAGGAUGCACCAGGUCAGGCCCACCCCACCUCCUGGGAACCCUGAGGAAUGUAAAAGACUCUUGUGGUCUGCUGAGAGUCCAGCUCUUGGAACGAAGGGAUCUCUCAUCCUGUUUCUGAUACUAUGACGUGGAUGACAAAAGCACUUAUUGGAAGCAAAGGGCUUUCCUUGAGCCAUCUUAGUGGCCCUGGAAGCUAUUAUCCCCAAACUAGAGAUGAAACCCAUGAGUUCUAAUUUUCAACAGAAACUCGGAGUUGGAAAAUUCCCUCUGAGGUAGAUUUUGCCCAAUGUCCUCAUUGCCCAGGGCUGUGAACUGCAAUCUAGGUGAGGAAGUGAUGGCACAGGCAGGGGGUGGGUACGAGGUCCAGAGCCACGGGAUAGAAGCUCAGGCUCCACCUCUUGUUCCUGAGCUGAGCGAUUACAGAAGAAUGACAUCACUUCUCUAAGCC